AUGGAGACAGACACACUCCUGCUAUGGGUGCUGCUGCUCUGGGUUCCAGGCUCCACUGGUGACAUUGUGCUGACACAGUCUCCUGCUUUGGCUGUGUCUCUAGGGCAGAGGGCCACAAUCUCCUGUAGGGCCAGCCAAAGUGUCAGCAUAUCUAGAUAUAAUCAUAUGCACUGGUACCAACAGAAACCAGGACAGCAACCCAAACUCCUCAUCUAUGGUGCAUCCAACCGAGCAUCUGGGAUCCCUGCCAGGUUCAGUGGCAGUGGGUCUGGGACAGACUUCACCCUCGCCAUCAAUCCUGUGCAGGCUGAUGAUAUUGCAACCUAUUACUGUCAGCAGACUAAGGAUUAUCCUCCCACAGUGCUCCAGGGCUGA